GCAAGAAAGGCUUCAGUUGGACCGGCUGAAGAACCAGCUGUCUGAUGCCAUUCAGCGAUACGGCACAAUUCAAAAGAAAAUUGCAGAGAAGUCCAAAGCUUUACUUCCUAUGGGCCAAAGACCUAGGAAGGCCAGUCCCAAGAUCCCUUUCUCUGACCUGGCCGAUGAUGAAAAGAUCUUUAAUGGGGGCGAUACCAUGUGGCAGGAACAGAACCAGGAGCACGCCUUGCUGUCGGAAAUCACGGAAGAGGACGUGGAGGCGAUCCGCCAGAGGGAAGAAGCCGUACAGAAG